rnacentral:rRNA from 1 species
UACGUAGGGGGCAAGCGUUAUCCGGAUUUACUGGGUGUAAAGGGAGCGUAGACGGCGAUGCAAGCCAGAUGUGAAAGCCCGGGGCUCAACCCCGGGACUGCAUUUGGACCUGUAUAGCUAGAGUGUCGGAGAGGCAGGCGGAAUUCCUAGUGUAGCGGUGAAAUGCGUAGAUAUUAGGAGGAACACCAGUGGCGAAGGCGGCCUGCUGGACGAUGACUGACGUUGAGGCUCGAAAGCGUGGGGAGCAAACAGG